GACGAACGCUGGCGGCGUGCUUAACACAUGCAAGUCGAACGGAAAGGCCCUGCUUUUGUGGUGUGCUCGAGUGGCGAACGGGUGAGUAACACGUGAGUAACCUGCCCUUGACUUUGGUAUAACUUCAGGAAACUGGGGCUAAUACCGGAUAUGAGCUCCUGCUGCAUGGUGGGGGUUGGAUAGUUUCGGCGGUUGGGGAUGGACUCGCGGCUUAUCAGCUUGUUGGUGGGGUAGUGGCUUACCAAGGCUUUGACGGGUAGCCGGCCUGAGAGGGUGACCGGCCACAUUGGGACUAAGAUACGGCCCAGACUCCUACGGGAGGCAGCAGUGGGGAAUAUUACACAAUGGGCGGAAGCCUGAUGCAGCAACGCCGCGUGCGGGAUGACGGCCUUCUGGUUGUAAACCGCUUUCGCCUGUGACGAAGCGUGAGUGACGGUAAUGAGUAAAGAAGCACCGGCUAACUACGUG
rnacentral:rRNA from 1 species